GUCGUAACAAGGUAGCCGUAGGGGAACCUGCGGCUGGAUCACCUCCUUUCUAAGGAUCUGGCAGAAAGCGCCGUCCCUUGCGGAUGGAAGAGCUUCUCCCACUCCAAAGAACAUGCCGUCGUCCUCAUGUCCCUUCAUCCUGGAGAUAGCACCGUAAAGGUGCUGUAUGCCUGAGCUGGCUUAUCUGCCGCCCGCGGCCCAUUGGCCUGCUUGUGGCGCAGGAUGGGCCGGUAGCUCAGGUGGUUAGAGCGCACGCCUGAUAAGCGUGAGGUCGCAAGUUCAACUCUUGCUCGGCCCACCAUCCUUAUACGCCUUGGUUACCAAGGGGGCCUUAGCUCAGCUGGGAGAGCGGUUGCUUUGCAAGCAUCAGGUCAUCGGUUCGAUCCCGAUAGGCUCCACCAAUUUGCCGAUGGCAAAUUGAUCUUGUUUGUUGAGUGCUCAGGCGCCGCCGAACGCAUUCGCGUUCUUGGCUUUUUCCGCGCAUAAGCGCGGCCAAGAAACGGAUGGGGCCGGUCGGCCUUGCGAACCCUGCGGGUUCGGGGCUCUCAACACGCUCACCAAGAUACUCCAGAGAUGAAGCGAAACGGUUCCGGCCUGCAAGGGUCGGUUACGCGGGAUCUGCCCGCAGUUCUUUGACAUUGUGAAUGGGUUUUUUAAUCGAUGCCGUGGCGCAUGGGUUUUCCAAGACGUUUGGAAGAUCGAUCAUGCGUUACAUACAGAUCAAUAUCUGGCUGAGAUUAUCGUCCAUGCCUAGCACGACGCANUCUUUAUGCAGGGCUGUCGUUGAUGGUGUGGAUUCUCAAGCGUGAGGUAAGAGCAUCUGGUGGAUGCCUUGGC
rnacentral:misc_RNA from 1 species